AUGGAAGGAGUACAGAAGAAACUUCAAUCCUUGCAGCUAUCUGAAUCUGAAAGGAGAGGAGUCAAGCUCAGCAGAAGAGGAACAUGUUCAGAUUUCUUUGAUAAGCCAAAAGCAGUGGGGAAAUUGUUGUCAGACAGACCAGCAAGAGCGGAUGCUCUGGUAAGAACUUGAGGCUGGAUCUGGUGCCCUUUUAAGGGAAUAGAGUGCAAGGACUUAGGCAUGAACAGAUUUCUAUUUUCUUUUCGAGAAGAAGGAGGGAAAAUUAAAGCCUUAAAUAGUGGCCCAUGGAUGUUUAAUAAGUGCUUGAUGGUGAUAGAAGAUUUCAAGCCAACUAAAUCACUAGACGAGUAUGAGUUCAAAUUUAUCCCAAUUUGGGUCAGAGUUGAGGGUAUGCCCAUGGGU
rnacentral:rRNA from 1 species